AGCGGUCAGGUCUCUGGCACUGAGUGGCUCUGCCAACCAGAAGAAAAUGGGGAGAGAGGAGACGAAUUGUGGUGAUCGGGAAUUCGUUUGUUAGGGGAACAGAACGGUGGCUCUGUGGAUGAGAACAAGAUUACCAGAUGAGUUUUCCUCCUCCUAGGCAGGCUGCUGUCCAAGGCUGAUGAGCCUCAUCUGCCCAAAAAGCUUCCAUCACUCCACCGCUGGCGUUCCUACUCUCAGACCCUGGUUAGAUCCCAAGUCCUGGAAUUCCAUCCAUUAACCAUACCGCUUCUGCAUCCUCUGGAAACUGAUUCUCUUUAUCUUCUGAGCAUCUCGAGAACAGUAUCACUGGGUCCCUCCUGUAACUAAUAAAGUGGCCGCAGAGUGUAUGUUCAUGGUCUUCUGCUGCUGUAGCCCGUCCACUUCAAGCUUUGACGUGUUAUACAUUCAGAGAUGCUCUUCUGCACACUGCUGUUGUAACGUGGUUAUCUUAGUUACUGUCACCUUCCUGUCAGCUUGAACCAGUCUGCAAGUCUCCUCUACCUCUCUCAUUAACAAGGUGUUCCUCUCACAGAACCUGGCACCAUUCUCUGUAAACUUUAGAGAUUGUUGUGCAUGAAAAUCUGAGAAGAUCAGCAUUUUCUGAGACACUCUGUCCCGUCUGACAGCAACAAUCAUUCCAUAUUUAAAGGUACUUGGAUCACAUUCCUUCCCCAUUCUGAUCUUUGAUCUGAACAACUGAAUUUUUUGACCAUGUGUGCAUGCAUUUUAAACUAGAGUUGCAGAGGAUGGGAACCAGUGGGCCAGAACAGUUCAUGGAGAGGUGCUGGAGACAGAUGUUAUAAGACCUCAGACAAUGACAGAAACAAAGUAAGUUCUGAGAUAUGAAACUUUUAUGUGCCUGUUAUAAAGCAGGGAGGAGGAGAUGGCGACACGACGCAGCACGCGUGGCCGUUCCGAAUGAAUAUCGAAUGUGUUAACUAGGGAGCCAUGCACAAUCCGGAUUUGAUGAAGGUAGCUGUGAGAAGCACAGAGGAACAUCUGGGGUAACUUUUGAAAUGCCUGCUUCGCUGCCGCUGCUACUGUGCGAUCGAGAAUCUCCGGAGACGAAGGCCCCAAAUCCUCGGCUUUGUGUAUCGCCUGUUGCCGGGGCCAGGGUCAAAACGCUCGGCAGAGAUGGUGCUCGGUGUCAAAGAGGUGGUCGAAGGCUAGGAGUUUUCGGAUGGACUCGGAGUCGGACUGUGGUCGGAUGCUUCCAAGAUGCUGCACCAGCAAGCUUGCGGCGCUGGAGGUUUACCGUCUGCAUGAGAUGAUGGGACUUUCAAGAGACUCUGAGACUUUUACUGAGCCAUGGUCUGUUCUUAUCAAAUUACGGUAUUGCUUUGCACUGUUGUAACUAUAUGUUAUAAUUAUGUGGUUUUUUUUAGUUUUUAAGUCGGUUUGUCAUGUGUUUUCGUGAUAUCAUUCUGAAAAAACAUUUAAUCAUUUCUUAAUGCAUGCAUUACUAAAUGACAA